CAGUUAGUUCCUUCCUUUUAAAAUUCCGUCUAAUCUCCACCGGUUAGUAAGAAGAUAUCAACUCUUACCAAUUGUUAUUUUAAGAAAAAUAAAAAUACUGUACUGAAGUUAACUAAGAUAUCGAUUGCUGGGAUUAGGACAAAAUUCUGCGUGAUCUACAAUAAAAUCUCGAGUAAAUUAAACAGGAAAGAUGCUAAAACUGCUCGUAAUAAAGGGGUUUGCGCUUCUCCCGGAAAGAGAGAGAGAGAAACUGAGGAAGAGAGAGAGAGAGUGAGAGAGAAGGAAAGAAAAAAAAAGAAAGAAAGUCGGUGGCGCAGAUCGAUUAGCGCGAAAUUGGAAAAAAGGGUAGUUUCUAUAGGUUCUUUAAGCGUUUCGGUAUGGCGACAAAUUUCAACUAGUUGGCACGACGACGAUGAUGAGCAAUGUUAGAGCAGCUGCUUUGAGUUGGAUUGGCCUUGGAUACACACCUGCCGUCUGCAACUAUGGUGUCAGUGGCGCCCUUCUUCUGGUGUCGCAACUGGAUUCGCAUCUGGCGGAAAUCGUAACACUUUCGGGGACGAACUCUUACUUCUUUACAGCUGUCCACAAGGACGGAGAAAGUGCAACAUUCGACCUCCGUCAUCCUAGAAAAAAAAAAAUAAAAACAUAAUAAUAAUAAUAAUAAUAAUAACAGAAAUAUAGAAAUAAAUAUAAGAGCGAGCGAGCGAGAGAGAGAGAGAGAGAGAGAUUGAGAGAGAGAAAAUCGCACAACUUUCCGUUGCAAGACGACACGUUGGAUUAUAUACUGGGAAUGCAUCCUAGAGGAUCGGCUCGUUUUAAAAUUAAAUGCAGCGAUUGCAAAAGCGAAAUCUGUUUUGCAAUUUUUACUUAAUGCUUGACCUACGGCACGGUUUUUGCAAUGUUAAAAUUUGUAUCGGCGUUUAAAAACACUCCAAAAUCGAUAAGAAAGCUCAAAACGCCCAAUUUUGUAUCGUCUACAAUUUAACCGAUUUGCUUAUCGAGAAUUUUUUUGCAGAACGUCUUAAAAAUUCUGCAAUUGCUAGCAUUAAAGUGUCAG
rnacentral:lncRNA from 1 species